ACACACCCCACUAAAGCUUCCUUCUGAAGGAAUGUGCAUGAAAUUCCUGUAUUGCAAAGGGGUAACGGAUUUACUUUUGAGUAAACCUAAAUGAGCCACAGAAGCAGAGGGGCCACCUUGUUCAUUGCAUUUGAAUGGAGGGGAGACUUUUUUAGAGCAGUUCAUUUCAUUUCAUUUCUUUUUUUUAAAGUUAGAUCGAUAACCCAACUUCCCCCCAUUCCGCUCAAGAAAGUGGCUCUCUUCUUCCCUUCUUUUUUGGCACAACGGUCCUGCAAGGUAGGCCAAGCCAAGAGAGGGUGGGUGGGUGGCUGGCUGGCUGUUCCACCCAGCAUGUGUGGUGUGAUUCACCAGCUGAGAGGAAUCCUGCCUGCUGACCUUGUCAAAGCAAAGGAGAGUUUCCUGGGCAGAGUUUUCAGGAUUCCUGGAGGGAAAGCUUCUGUUGAAAGGCUGCCAGAUGGCCCCCAUCAAGCAAAGGAAGCUCAGGAUGAGACCAUCUGGGGAGAAAAGGAUUUCUCACUUUGGGGUUUACCCUAUGCUGCUCAUUCCGCUGUACGCCCUGAUGUUCCUCUUGGUUCUGGGGCUUGAGAAAAGUGCGGGGGAAUUGCGUGGACCGGAUGGGGCGGGGGCCUUGGGCAGCAUUUUCCCAACCAGCCUGGAAGAAUCCGACACGGAGAGGUGCAUGGGUGGGGAUCGCUGGUUGUCUCCUUGUCCGGCGGAACACCCCACCACCAGACUUGCCCAAGGAAGAUGGUCCACCAGCCAAGCCCUGGGGGCCAACUUCAGCGACAGCCAGAAGGCCAACACCCUCCAGCCCCGCUCCGAAGGCACAGUUCAGCUGAGUUUCAUCUGCCUUCUCCUCCUGGGAAUCGGGGCGGCCCUCUUUUUCGUCUGUUUUGCUUGCCGGGUCGCUUUCUGUUUCUGGAACCAGCUGAGGCUGCGGGGCCCCGUGCAAAUCCUGAAUGAGCAGCUACAGCUGGGCCAGUUGGAACAUGUUCCCCAUAUGGCGCUGGAUCCCACCGCUGCCACCACCACCAGUUCUCUUCCCCCUGUGGGCACUGACUCUGCGCAGGAGGUGCUUGUAUGAAGAAGACUGGCAAUGAAAUCUUGAGUUCCAACCCUUUGCCCCCAAGACUGGAAGCUACGGCGAGAUCAUCAAUUUUUGAAUCACUCCAUCAUCUCCCCCAGGAACAUGGUGGAACACCCACAUUUUGCUUGAUCCUUGCAUCUUAUUCUUUCACCUUGAACUGCACAUCUAUGUCUGAAAUGCUUUGCCUUGAGGCAGGAAUGCACCCUGACGACCAGCACUCUGUGAGUUCUUUAUUUCUGAGGUUUCUCAGCAGAAGGAACGCAGUGUAUCUCCAAGAAAUCAUUUAUGGGGCCGCCCAAGCCAUUGGUCAGAGGGGAGAAACCGAGAUCCAGACAUUGCCAGAAAGCUGUGUUGAAAUCCAACAAGCUUCAGCAUUUCAGGACCACACUGUUAGCUUUUAAUUAUUUAGAAAGACAAUUAGACAAAGCUCUCCCCUCAUGCCCUGACAGACCUCUUCAACGGCCAGUCAAGAUCCAGAAGUAUUGAGCUGCUCCGUUGAAUCCUCAGUUAAGCUUUGUAACUCAGGGCAGGAGAGGAAUCUAGGGAAUUGUCUUAUCGACACAAAAAUUAUAUUAUGUGUGACUCUUCAUUUCCAUAGCUUCUGGAAGAUUGUACCGGAAGGUACCCUGAAGCUUUUUAAGGAUGACAUUUCUGCAACCCGUUAAACUCAGAAGAGGCAGAUCCAGUCCGGAGCCCAGGCUGUGCUUCCAGAAUGAACUUUUCCCCCCUGGGAUGCUAGAAGCAGGGGCUUGCUAAACACAUGUUUUCAAUGUAUGGCUCUUUAUUACCAAUAAAGUGUGGACGUGUAGCA
rnacentral:lncRNA from 1 species